rnacentral:rRNA from 1 species
UACGUAGGGACCAAGCGUUGUUCGGAUUUACUGGGCGUAAAGGGCGCGUAGGCGGCUUGGUAAGUCACUUGUGAAAUCUCUGAGCUUAACUCAGAACGGCCAAGUGAUACUGCAGUGCUAGAGUGUGGAAGGGGCAAUCGGAAUUCUUGGUGUAGCGGUGAAAUGCGUAGAUAUCAAGAGGAACACCUGAGGUGAAGACGGGUUGCUGGGCCAACACUGACGCUGAUGCGCGAAAGCCAGGGGAGCAAACGGG